UACGAAGGGGGCUAGCGUUGUUCGGAUUUACUGGGCGUAAAGCGCAUGUAGGCGGGCCGUUAAGUUGGGGGUGAAAGCCCGAGGCUCAACCUCGGAAUUGCCUUCAAAACUGGCGGCCUGGAGCAAGAUAGAGGCGAGUGGAAUUGCGAGUGUAGAGGUGAAAUUCGUAGAUAUUCGCAGGAACACCAGUGGCGAAGGCGACUCGCUGGAUCUUUGCUGACGCUGAGAUGCGAAAGCGUGGGGAGCAAACAGG
rnacentral:rRNA from 1 species